UACGGAGGAUGCGAGCGUUAUCCGGAUUUAUUGGGUUUAAAGGGUGCGUAGGCGGAAUAUCAAGUCAGCGGUAAAAAUUCGGGGCUCAACCCCGUCGUGCCGUUGAAACUGAUGUUCUUGAGUGGGCGAGAAGUAUGCGGAAUGCGUGGUGUAGCGGUGAAAUGCAUAGAUAUCACACAGAACACCAGUGGCGAAGGCGGCUUCCUGGUCUGCAACUGACACUGAGGCGCGAAAGCGUGGGGAGCAAACAGG
rnacentral:rRNA from 1 species